CUUAGCAACUUUCACUUGCUGGCAUCAUCUCGUGCCAAGAACAGUGAGGAUGCUCUGAGAGACCCAGUGGCUACUUUCUUCUGGUGUCACAUGAGAGGGGAAGGGGCCUGUGCGUACUCUUACCUUGCAAAUCUUGAAGGCCUGUAACUGUGAUUGCUGGGGUCCCAAGGCCUGCGGGAGCCCAAGAAGUGCACUGCCUUUAAUGGUUCUUCUCUAGGACUUCCAUCCAAGUGACUGUUGCCCGUCUUGCCGGAAGGCUCAGUGACACGUGUGUGAAAGUUCUCCUGUGACAGAGCACUGCCGUCCUACCAGGCUUCCGGCACCCAGAGCCCUCUGGCUCGGCU